CAACAUUUCCUUUGAAGGCAUUGUCAUUUUGAAAUUUUCACAAAACCCCAUUUCAUAUUGCGACUGCUUUCACAAAAAGAUCUUUACAAACAAAAGCAAAUAGCCUAUAGAUUGGAUUCUUAUACUUACUUGCGCUAAAUAUCGCGGAGAAGACAUCUUUAUAUCUUUAUCUUACAAUAAAUAAAAAAUCAUAUAUUUUUGAGUUUUUAACAAAUAGUGUGAAAAAAAGAAAAAAUAAAAAAUCAUGAUGAAUACGAAACCCAGUGAAAAGCUUUAUGCCAACUCGCGCAUUACCCGCCAUCCUCAGGCGGUAGAACAUCAACGCAUGCAUAUGACAAGAAGUCAAACUAAAUUGUUGAAGAAAAAUCCCAGCGAAUUAAGUCUUACACCCAGCCAGGCAGAGCAAGAGGCCAAAGCUAAUGUAAAUAAUCGUAAAAAUCCUUUGGAUGCCUUGAGCAAAACCAAUGUCCGUCG